CGGCGUGCCUAACACAUGCAAGUCAACUUGACUGAAGGAGCAAUCUGACAGUAGAGUGGCGCAAGGGUGCGUAACGCGUAAGUAACUUGCCCAAGGUAAGGAAUAACGUCGAGAAAUCGGCGCUAAUACCUCAUAAUGCAGCGGAUCCGCAUGGAUAUGUUGUUAAAGGUUUACCGCCUUGGGAUAGGCUUGCGUCUGAUUAGCUAGUUGGUGUGGUAACGGCACACCAAGGCUACGAUCAGUAACUGGUCUGAGAGGAUGAUCAGUCACACUGGAACUGAGACACGGUCCAGACUCCUACGGGAGGCAGCAGUGAGGAAGAUUGGGCAAUGCUCGAAAGAGUGACCCAGCAACGCCGCGUGGAGGAUGAAGGUAUUCUAUAUCGUAAACUCCUGUGAGAGCAGACGAAAGACAGAUUAUUAAUCUGGAUGACUGUAUGCUCAGAGGAAGCCCCGGCUAACUACGUG
rnacentral:rRNA from 1 species